rfam:Human gut metagenome DNA, contig sequence: F2-X_000085.
CAGUUAUAUUCGCCUGACAGCGAGUGAAAUUGUCCUUCGGACAGUGAUAGGAUACUUCGCAUCGUGAUAUUGCCU